GGAUGUGAGGGCGAUCUGGCUGUGACAUCUGUCACCCCAUUGAUUGCCAGGGUUGAUUCGGCUGAUCUGGCUGGCUAGGCAGGUGUCCCCUUCCUCCCUCAACGCUCCAUGUGCGUCCCUCCCGAAGCUGUGUGCUCUGUCGAAGAGGAUGGCCUUCCCGAACAGAGGACUGGUCUUCGGUUGAGGGUAUAUGAGUAGCUGCUCUCCCCUGCUAGAACCUCCAAACAAGCUCUCAAGAAAUCAAGUCUCGAUGCCCCCAGAGGCUGCCUAAGGCAGUGAGACUGAAUCUAGCCCUUCUUACAGUGAGCAGUACAGAGCAACAGGACUGGAACUU
rfam:Erinaceus europaeus unplaced genomic scaffold scaffold00097, whole genome shotgun sequence